AUGAACGCUAGCGGCAGGCUUAACACAUGCAAGUCGAGGGGCAGCGGGGAGUAGCAAUACUCCGCCGGCGACCGGCGCACGGGUGCGUAACGCGUAUGCAACCUACCUUUAACAGGGGCAUAACACUGAGAAAUUGGUACUAAUUCCCCAUAACAUUCGAGAAGGCAUCUUCUUGGGUUAAAAACUCCGGUGGUUAAAGAUGGGCAUGCGUUGUAUUAGCUAGUUGGUGAGGUAACGGCUCACCAAGGCAACGAUACAUAGGGGGACUGAGAGGUUAACCCCCCACAUUGGUACUGAGACACGGACCAAACUCCUACGGGAGGCAGCAGUGAGGAAUAUUGGUCAAUGGACGCAAGUCUGAACCAGCCAUGCCGCGUGCAGGAAGACGGCUCUAUGAGUUGUAAACUGCUUUUGUACUAGGGUAAACGCUUCUACGUGUAGGAGCCUGAAAGUAUAGUACGAAUAAGGAUCGGCUAACUCCGUGCCAGCAGCCGCGGUAAUACGGAGGAUCCAAGCGUUAUCCGGAUUUAUUGGGUUUAAAGGGUGCGUAGGCGGUUUGAUAAGUUAGAGGUGAAAUACCGGGGCUCAACUCCGGAACUGCCUCUAAUACUGUUGAACUAGAGAGUAGUUGCGGUAGGCGGAAUGUAUGGUGUAGCGGUGAAAUGCUUAGAGAUCAUACAGAACACCGAUUGCGAAGGCAGCUUACCAAACUAUAUCUGACGUUGAGGCACGAAAGCGUGGGGAGCAAACAGGAUUAGAUACCCUGGUAGUCCACGCAGUAAACGAUGAUAACUCGUUGUCGGCGAUACACAGUCGGUGACUAAGCGAAAGCGAUAAGUUAUCCACCUGGGGAGUACGUUCGCAAGAAUGAAACUCAAAGGAAUUGACGGGGGCCCGCACAAGCGGAGGAACAUGUGGUUUAAUUCGAUGAUACGCGAGGAACCUUACCCGGGCUUAAAUUGCAGAUGAAUUACGGUGAAAGCCGUAAGCCGCAAGGCAUCUGUGAAGGUGCUGCAUGGUUGUCGUCAGCUCGUGCCGUGAGGUGUCGGGUUAAGUCCCAUAACGAGCGCAACCCCUACCGUUAGUUGCCAUCAGGUCAAGCUGGGCACUCUGGCGGGACUGCCGGUGUAAGCCGAGAGGAAGGUGGGGAUGACGUCAAAUCAGCACGGCCCUUACGUCCGGGGCUACACACGUGUUACAAUGGUAGGUACAGAGGGCCGCUACCCCGCGAGGGGAUGCCAAUCUCGAAAGCCUAUCUCAGUUCGGAUCGGAGGCUGAAACCCGCCUCCGUGAAGUUGGAUUCGCUAGUAAUCGCGCAUCAGCCAUGGCGCGGUGAAUACGUUCCCGGGCCUUGUACACACCGCCCGUCAAGCCAUGGAAGCUGGGGGUGCCUGAAGUUCGUGACCGCAAGGAGCGACCUAGGGCAAAACCGGUGACUGGGGCU
rnacentral:rRNA from 1 species